CGAGCGGACCCUUUCAAAGCUUGCUUUUGAAGAGUACAGCGGCGGACGGGUGAGUAACACGUGGGCAACCUGCCUGUAAGACUGGGAUAACUUCGGGAAACCGGAGCUAAUACCGGAUAAUAUAAAGAACCUCCUGGUUCUUUAUUGAAAGAUGGUUUCGGCUAUCACUUACAGAUGGGCCCGCGGCGCAUUAGCUAGUUGGUGAGGUAACGGCUCACCAAGGCGACGAUGCGUAGCCGACCUGAGAGGGUGAUCGGCCACACUGGGACUGAGACACGGCCCAGACUCCUACGGGAGGCAGCAGUAGGGAAUCUUCCACAAUGGACGAAAGUCUGAUGGAGCAACGCCGCGUGAGCGAUGAAGGCCUUCGGGUCGUAAAGCUCUGUUGUUAGGGAAGAACAAGUGCGAGAGUAACUGCUCGCACCUUGACGGUACCUAACCAGAAAGCCACGG
rnacentral:rRNA from 2 species